rnacentral:lncRNA from 1 species
GUUUGUUCAGCCAAUCAGAAGGCUUUCAGGCGCUUUCUGUCGCGUGCACAGUGGCCAGUGAAACCGGAAGCUGAGCUUGGAGAAUUUUCGUGAGUUUAGAGAGUGUAAAAUGUUCCAGAUUUUUCACCCGUCAACAACGGCCUACACAGCCAAACCGCCUAAAAGACAUAGUAAAAUAAAGAAACCAAAUCAGGAAGAAAACAGCUGCACAUUGGUAAAGCUGUCAUGUUUUGAGGGAGGCGCAGCAGAUCAUGUGCUACACAACUUCGGACCGUACGAAGUCGCCGAGAUGAGGACAUGCAGAGUCCAAGGCUGAAGAAAAAUGUGACCAUCACUUACCCACUGGAAUUGAGCAGGAGGAAACUGGCAUCAUUGUUAUCAAAUGAUUAACCAACAUGAAGUGAGUUCUCAGAUUAAUCCAGAUUUAAAAAUCAACCCAAGUCAUAGUCCAUAAAU